GUGGGGAAUUUUGCACAAUGGGGGAAACCCUGAUGCAGCAACGCCGCGUGAGUGAAGAAGGCCUUUGGGUUGUAAAGCUCUUUCGGCUGAGAAGAAGGGCUAUAUGGCUAAUAUCCAUGUAGUUUGACGGUAUCAGAAGAAGAAGCACCUGCUAACUUCGUGCCAGCAGCAGCGGUAAUACGAAGGGUGCAAGCGUUGUUCGGAAUUACUGGGCGUAAAGGGCGCGUAGGCGGGUUUGUAAGUCGAAUGUGAAAUCCCCGGGCUUAACCUGGGACGUGCAUUCGAUACUGCUGAUCUUGAAUGCUUGAGAGGGUGGUGGAAUUCCUAGUGUAGAAGUGAAAUUCGUAGAUAUUAGGAGGAACACCGGAGGCGAAGGCGGCCACCUGGCAAGACAUUGACGCUAAGGCGCGAAAGUGCGGGGAGCAAACAGGAUUAGAUACCCCGGUAGUCC
rnacentral:rRNA from 1 species